GGAGGCGUCAUUCGUAGUGACUACCUGCAGUCGAGCGGUAGCACAGACAUCUUGCUGUCGGGUGGCUGAGCCGGCGGAGGGUGAGUAAUGUCUGGGAAACUGCCUGAUGGAGGGGGAUAACUACUGGAAACGGUAGCUAAUACCGAAAAAUGUCGCAGGACCAAAGUGGGGGACCUUCGGGCCUCAAGCCAUCAGAUGUGCCCAGAUUGGAUUAGCUGGUGGGUGGGGUAACGGCUCACCUAGGCGACGAUCCCUAGCUGGUCUGAAAGGAUGACCAGCCACACUGGAACUGAGACACGGUCCACACUCCUACGGGAGGCAUCAGUGGGGAAUAUUGCACAAUGGGCGCAAGCCUGAUGC
rnacentral:rRNA from 1 species